rnacentral:rRNA from 1 species
GAUGAACGCUGGCGGCGUGCCUAAUACAUGCAAGUCGAGCGAACGGACGAGAAGCUUGCUUCUCUGAUGUUAGCGGCGGACGGGUGAGUAACACGUGGACAACCUACCUAUAAGACUGGGAUAACUUCGGGAAACCGGAGCUAAUACCGGAUAAUAUUUUGAACCGCAUGGUUCAAAAGUGAAAGACGGUCUUGCUGUCACUUAUAGAUGGAUCCGCGCUGCAUUAGCUAGUUGGUAAGGUAACGGCUUACCAAGGCAACGAUGCAUAGCCGACCUGAGAGGGUGAUCGGCCACACUGGAACUGAGACACGGUCCAGACUCCUACGGGAGGCAGCAGUAGGGAAUCUUCCGCAAUGGGCGAAAGCCUGACGGAGCAACGCCGCGUGAGUGAUGAAGGUCUUCGGAUCGUAAAACUCUGUUAUUAGGGAAGAACAUAUGUGUAAGUAACUGUGCACAUCUUGACGGUACCUAAUCAGAAAGCCACGGCUAACUACGUGCCAGCAGCCGCGGUAAUACGUAGGUGGCAAGCGUUAUCCGGAAUUAUUGGGCGUAAAGCGCGCGUAGGCGGUUUUUUAAGUCUGAUGUGAAAGCCCGCGGCUCAACCGUGGAGGGUCAUUGGAAACUGGAAAACUUGAGUGCAGAAGAGGAAAGUGGAAUUCCAUGUGUAGCGGUGAAAUGCGCAGAGAUAUGGAGGAACACCAGUGGCGAAGGCGACUUUCUGGUCUGUAACUGACGCUGAUGUGCGAAAGCGUGGGGAUCAAACAGGAUUAGAUACCCUGGUAGUCCACGCCGUAAACGAUGAGUGCUAAGUGUUAGGGGGUUUCCGCCCCUUAGUGCUGCAGCUAACGCAUUAAGCACUCCGCCUGGGGAGUACGACCGCAAGGUUGAAACUCAAAGGAAUUGACGGGGACCCGCACAAGCGGUGGAGCAUGUGGUUUAAUCCGAAGCAACGCGAAGAACCUUACCAAAUCUUGACAUCCUUUGACAACUCUAGAGAUAGAGCCUUCCCCUUCGGGGGACAAAGUGACAGGUGGUGCAUGGUUGUCGUCAGCUCGUGUCGUGAGAUGUUGGGUUAAGUCCCGCAACGAGCGCAACCCUUAAGCUUAGUUGCCAUCAUUAAGUUGGGCACUCUAAGUUGACUGCCGGUGACAAACCGGAGGAAGGUGGGGAUGACGUCAAAUCAUCAUGCCCCUUAUGAUUUGGGCUACACACGUGCUACAAUGGACAAUACAAAGGGCAGCGAAACCGCGAGGUCAAGCAAAUCCCAUAAAGUUGUUCUCAGUUCGGAUUGUAGUCUGCAACUCGACUACAUGAAGCUGGAAUCGCUAGUAAUCGUAGAUCAGCAUGCUACGGUGAAUACGUUCCCGGGUCU